rnacentral:tRNA from 1 species
GCGCUUUUGGUAUAGUGGUUAGAAUAUCAGGUUUCCAACCUGACGACCCGGGUUCAAUUCCCGGAAGGCGCA